rnacentral:lncRNA from 13 species
UACGCUAAUAACUUACAUUCAUUUUAACUCUGAGGUUCCAAUUUUCCGAUGGCAUGUGAAUGCGUCAAUAAUUGCCAUGGUCAUUUUGAAUGUUCAGUCAGUGAGCAUUAUGGGUAAUUGUCCUACAUACUUACAUCAAAUGCUGUAGUAACAGUGCCAUUCCAAACACAAUAAAUGUGAAAAUUAACAAAGAUGCAAAAUAAAAGUGAAGAAAAUCAGUUUAAAAUUGUAGUAGGAAAUGCCCCUGCAGCAGGGAGGCUUAUGGUAUUAUAAUAUAUUGUAGAUAACAUUAAUAUAAUUUGUGUAUUUNNNNNNNNNNGAUUGUAUUACAUUAUCUAAAAGUGAGAAAGUAAACCCCAGCUGCUGUUAUUCUUUUCACAGGGAAGGACAAUCCCCAUUAUGCCAUGAAUGUUUCAUUGCUGAACCACCAUAGAUAUUUUUCCUCUAAUUUGUCUCCCGUUCCUCCCAACAGUGAGCAAGACCUGCCAGCAGAGCUCACUGGAGCAGGGAGACAUCCCGUCAUCCUUUUGGCGCCUGACAAAAUCAUCACAGCAGCCGAAGUUGCUGUGCAGAGAAAGGAGAUCGUCCAAGCAUCAGGCCUCAUCCCAUCACAGAGGAAGGGUAUCCUCCAAAAAGCCAGUGUCCCUUCACAGAGGGAGGGGAUUCUCUCAGCCGCCAGCGUCAAUGCACAGAGGGAGGAGAACCUCCGAUCAUCAGGCGUCAUCCCUGCACGGAGGGAGGGGAUCCUCCAAACAGCUAGUGUCCCUUCACAGAGGAAGGGGAAUCUCUCAGCCGCCAGCAUCAAUGCACAGAGGGAGGAGAUCCUACGAUCAUCAGGCCUCAUCUCGUCACAGAGGGCGGGGAUCCUCCAAACAGCCAGUGUCACUGCGCAGAGGGAGGAAAUCGUCCCAAUGGCCAGCGUCCCUGUGCACAGGGAGGGGAUUGUCCCAAGGGCUAGUGUCCCUGCUGAGAGGGAGGAGAUCCUCCGAGCAUCAGGCCUCAUCCCUGCACGGAGGGAGGGGAUCCUCCAAACAGCCAGUGUCACUGCGCAGAAGGAGGAAAUCGUCCCAAUGGCGAACGCCCCUGCGCACAGGGAGGGGAUUGUCCCAAAGGCUAGUGUCCCUGCUGAGAGGGAGGAGAUCCUCCGAGCAUCAGGCCUCAUCCCUGCACAGAGGAAGGGGAUCCUCCAAACAGCCAGUGUCCCUGCACCGAGGGAGGGAAUUCUCAGAGCAGCUAGCAUCACUGCGCAGAGGGAGGAGAUCCUCAGAGCAUCAGGCCUCAUCCCUGCACAUAGGGAGGGGAUCCUCCGAGCAUCAGGCCUCAUCCCUACAAAGAGGGAGGGGAUUCUUCCAGCAGCUUCUAUCACUGCGCAGAAUAAUAAGAUGCUCAGAGCAUCACAACUCACCCCUGCACAAAGGGAGUUGAUCCUCCUGAUGACCAGUGUCACUGCGCAGAGAAAGGGAAUCUUCCCAAAGGCCAGUGUCUCUGCUUACAGGGAGUGGAUCGUCCCAAAGGCUGGUGUCCCUGCAGAGAGGGAGGAGAUCCUCCUCACAGCCAGUUUCCCUGUGAAGAAGGAAAACAAUCAUCCACAACCACCUCCCAUCAUCCCCAUGGUGGCACCACUGUGGAAAUGGGAUGUUGGAGCGUGUACUGCACCUGUGGAUUUCUAUUCCAAGAGAAGAGGUCACUUAACCUUACCUAAUUAG